rnacentral:rRNA from 1 species
AAAUUGAAGAGUUUGAUCAUGGCUCAGAUUGAACGCUGGCGGCAGGCCUAACACAUGCAAGUCGAACGGUAACAGGAAGAAGCUUGCUUCUUUGCUGACGAGUGGCGGACGGGUGAGUAAUGUCUGGGAAACUGCCUGAUGGAGG